UUUAGUUUGACUUGUCUUGAUUUUUUUUUUUGUGUUUUGACAUGAUUAUUUUUUAGAGAAAAUGAGUGAUGCAUUGACAAAUUAAUUUUAUACUUUCAAUUAAUGACAAUCAUAUAUCCCAUUAAAUUAAAUUGAAAAUUUUAAACUACUUAUAUGACAUAAUAAAUAAUAUACUCUUAUUAAAUAAACUACUUGUAUGACAUGAUAAAAUAAUAUACUCCUAUUGAAUGAUAUUAUAAAAUUUAUUACAG
rnacentral:lncRNA from 1 species